rnacentral:lncRNA from 1 species
GGCCGGAGUUGGAAAAUUUUAAAAAAUAACUACUAGGGACUUGACAGACCCUGCAUUCUCUGUUACCUCUACUUAUUUUUCUGCUGCUGUUCCUCCUCAUUGCCUUUCUAAUACUGGUUAAUUUUUCCUCCUCAUUCAACUCUCCUUGAUUAUCUCUGUGUUCUUUACUAAUACAAACCUUAGUACAGGGGGUUUCCUAAUAGAGUGUAACCUUCAACUAAAUAUAAUAGAAACUAUGAUGCCUCUCUAAAGAAAAAGAGAAUGUUGCACUUUGAUAUUUCCCUGACAUUUGCUGAUAGUCAGUGGUAGUUUCUUGUCCUAAAACUUCUACAACUUGAUCAUGUUGAAAAGGAAGGUAUUUGCUCCUGGGUAAUGGACUUAAAGCGGGUACUUCUCUCAGAAAAUAUUCCAUGAUUAAGAUCAAGAAGAUAGAUGUAUUUAUUCCACUUCAUGUGAAAUAUAACUGCAGUUGAACAGGGAAACAAGAUACGAGAGGAAGAGAGAAACUCAUAAAGGAUAACUUCAGAGUAGAAUUUAUGCAAUAUUACUAUUAUACAAAGCAAGCCCAGAUGUAUGCAUACAAUCUCCCAUCAUUACAGUUGAAGAUAAAGCAGAGUAUUCUAAAAUAAAACGAAAAUACUAAUACCCAUUAUGGUUCCCAUUAUGAACAGAAUGGCAACCAUGUGGUAUUCUUUGCUACUGUCAACCAUGUCUUACAGAACAAAGACCUGCAAACAAAAUAAAAAGACGAUUUUUUGUUUUUCCAGAUUUGUAUAUGAAAGUAAGUGCUUUUCUCAAAUGGCUUUAACAGCUCUAAACCUUGGUUCCUUGGGGAGGAACUUCUGCUCAGCAUAGACAGACAUGUAGUCACCGAAAACAAACUUAGGAUAAGUGUCAUCAACUUGUUGGUUAUCUUUUUCCGCCAAUUGUGGUGCAGGACUUAUAGUGGCCUUCAGGGGUGGGUUAUAGAAGGAUGCAAUUGAUCUCCUGGUACCCUCUGUAAAGGUCAGAACCCUGUGCCAACAACUCUUGUAUCUGCCAUUGCUCAGGACUUCAAUCUGAUCACCAGUGUUGAUGACAAUGGCAUUUGGCAAAGGUUGGACAUCAAGCCAUUCCCCAUCUUUGAGCAUUUGAAGGCCACCUACCUUGUCAUCUUGGAACAGUAGGAUGACACCUCCUGCAUCAGUGUGAGCUCGGAGACCAUUCACAAGUUCCGGAUGAGGGCAGGGUGGGUAGUGGCUGACCUUGGUGCCAAAGAAAGCAUUGUCUCCUUCUCCAUCAUUCAGUGCCUUCUUGAUGUAUCCUUUUGGUAAGCCCAGAUUCUCAUCCAUCACUUCUGUGAGACUCACUGCCAGUUUCUUUAACUCAGACCGAUAUUCUGACAUGGUUUCCCUGUCAUUCACAUGAGAAGUCAGUUAUACAUUCAUGUUGAAACUCUACCUAUUAUGCCAUGUCAUGUCAUGUUCUCACUUAGCAUGUUUUGAAGUGCUGUCCUUGAAUCCUAAAAAAAGUAUAUUGGUUUCAACUCUUCAAAACUUUCCAAUUUUAGAUGUUAUUUUGAAAUCACCUAUUUUAGUAAACAAGAGUAAGAGAACUUGAUUAUUAUUAUUUUUUGGGUUAAGAAAAUGGUAGUAUAUUAGUUAUGUUAUUAUAUUUUUAUACAAGAAAUAAAUUCUUCCUGGUGAGUAAGACCAGAGUAAGUAUAAUGUAUAACAGAAGAGAGUAUGCAUGAGAUGACAGGUGGUGUUCUUUCUGAUAUCAAUAUGCUUGACUAACUUUUACUUGGAAAGAACAUUUGAUUUGCUUUGUACCUGAAACUUGGUGUAUUUUCUGGCCAUUCGUUAUCAUCCAAGAGAGUGAUAACAUCCUCCCAGUCCACAUUCUCCAAUUUCUCACUGCUCUUCUUUUCAGCUAUAUCAUUCAGAAGCUUCACUGUUUUGGAGUUUUUGAAAUUCUCCUCUCUUUCCAGCUUAUAGAACUCAGAUGAAACCUUCUUCACCCUUUCAAGAAGUUCCUCCGAAAUGCCGUGAUUGAUCAACUGUAAAGCAAAGUAUGAGCAUUCACAUGCACAUGCAUAUUAGUAUAUGUAAUACCAAACCAAAAAUAAAUAAAUAAGUGAAAUGCAUUCACGCUUUUAAAUGAUAUUAUACACAUUAAUUGCCAUUAUGUGUAAACAUAAAUGAUUUAAGUACCUGAAAGAAUCCCCAUUCUUCACAGCCAUUAGCAAUCUGUGCCAAAGUUUUGGCCCUUUCUUCACCAUUGAGCUUUGAGAAAUCAAUGACUGGGACUGCCAUUGGAUCAGAAAAGUUAAGAUAAGAAAAGGAGUAUGUAAAUGUGAGUGAGAGAGAGAAAGAUAUGAAGAAGGUUGUUUG